GGAAGGGCAAUUUCUACUGACUCUUUACGCUACCAUUCAUUCACGGUGGAACCAGCAGAGAAGAGAAAACGAGACAGCCACAGCGAUUGUUUGCAAUUUUGAAACAGACUGCCUUUAACCCUCCAACUUUUUUUCUGUAAAAAGCCUUUUUUCUUUCUUCCUCUGAAAGCUUUGCAUUGUGAACAAUCCAUGGUAAACAAGGCUCCCUCUACAGCCGCGAGUGCGAAGUACAACCCCACAGGUUCAGAGCCCAGCGUUUACCCGUCAGAAAAAUAAAAUGAUGACAAGACAUCACAUUAGCGCCACGCAGGCUUCCUUCCGCACAUGCUCAAGACUCUGCUGUCAAUAGAAAACUCACACUUUCUUUUUAAAAGAGGGUUUAGGCACAUUUACUCAUUUGCACCUUUUAUUCCUGAAAUCAAAUGUGUUUUCAAACCAAUUCACUCUCCCCAGUUUACUGGAUCUUCUCAUCCUUGGUGAUGUGGGGCAGGUGGGAGGCUUUAUUUAUCCACACAUGCUGGUGCCCAAUAAUGAUUUUUAGAACGAACUAGUGGCCACAGCUCUUAAGUUCAUCCAGGAAAUGUGUUUCCAAACGCGGGAACUGUCCAUCCUCACUCUGAAAAUGAGAUAAUUCAGACUCAGGAUUUCCCUUUCCCCACCACAUUUUCAGAGACCUUUGACUUCUCCUGGCCUGAAUUACUAUUUCACAGCAGUGGUGGACAUCUGAGCUUGAAAUAUAAAGCCAAAUACAACUGAAGUUCAAAGGUGGAAUUGAACCCAGAUAACCCACCUCUUCUCUGACUAAUAAAAGAGAGCUAGUACCGCCCAGGAGGGCAGAGCAGUGAUUUUCUGUAGGCAUGAAACGUGAACUCAUUUACUAUCCCUGAGAUAAAACAGCCCAGCCCUGCUCAACCCACAGAAAACAGUUGAGAGCCCUGCAGAAACCUGGCUGUUGAGCGGCACUGCAAAUGAGCUUCCCAUAUGAAGUAAGCAUGUCCCACAAGUGGGGACCUGGCCAUGGGACUCUGGUUUGCCAUUAUUAGGACAAAUAGGAUCUUAGCGUGACCAGAGCAGACACUGUUCAAGCACGUCAAAACAUUAAAAAAAAAAAUUAUCCCCACAAAUGACUUAUUAAUGACAGAGAAGAAAAUGUACCUGCAAUGGGGCGAUCUGGCAGACACUUCCCAAUCAAGUCAUCAAAUUCAGCAGCCUCCAAAGUGGGGCCACCAGACAUGAUGUCCUCGGCUCCUGAAGGGAGGCACUGGAAGACACAGCAUCACUUGAGCCAUGUGCUCCCCCAACAUGCUUCACCUGAAUCUGCUCCUCAAGAGACAACCAGACAAGAAAUCCAGAAAGAGAAACUCCACAACACAACAGUCUUGGACUCUACAAAACAUUCAUUGUCACUAAUUGACUUUCUAAACGAUAAGAUGAAAGAGAAAUAACAGCCGGGUGCAGUGGCUCACACCUGUAAUCCCA
ensembl:lncRNA novel transcript, antisense to NOL4L